ACGAACGCUGGCGGCAUGCCUAACACAUGCAAGUCGAACGAGACCUUCGGGUCUAGUGGCGCACGGGUGCGUAACGCGUGGGAACCUGCCCUUAGGUUCGGAAUAACUCCCCGAAAGGGGUGCUAAUACCGGAUAAUGUCUUCGGACCAAAGAUUUAUCGCCUUUGGAUGGGCCCGCGUUGGAUUAGCUAGUUGGUAGGGUAAAAGCCUACCAAGGCGACGAUCCAUAGCUGGUCUGAGAGGAUGAUCAGCCACACUGGGACUGAGACACGGCCCAGACUACUGAGGGGGGGAAGAGGGGGGGAUUAUGGAACAAGGGGCAAAGCCCGAACCCAGCAAGGCGGGGGGAGUGAAAAGGCCUUUGGGUUUGAAAACCUUUUUUCCCGGGGAUAAAAAGAACAGACCGGGGAAAAAAACCCCCGCCAACCCCCGU
rnacentral:rRNA from 1 species